UUCCAGACUCCUACGGGAGGCAGCAGUGGGGGAUAUUGGACAAUGGGGGGAACCCUGAUCCAGCGACGCCGCGUGAGUGAAGAAGUAUUUCGGUAUGUAAAGCUCUGUCAGCAGGGAAGAAGAAAGUGACGGUACCUGACCAAGAAGCCCCGGCUAACUACGUGCCAGCAGCCGCGGUAAUACGGAGGAUGCGAGCGUUAUCCGGAUUUAUUGGGUUUAAAGGGUGCGCAGGCGGCACGGCAAGCCGGCGGUCAAAUCGCGGGGCUCAACCCCGCCCAGCCGUCGGAACUGCCGGGCUAGAGUGGGCGAGAAGUGCGCGGAAUGCGUGGUGUAGCGGUGAAAUGCAUAGAUAUCACGCAGAACUCCGAUUGCGAAGGCAGCGCACCGGCGCCCUACUGACGCUCAGGCACGAAAGCGUGGGUAUCGAACAGGAUUAGAUACCCUCGUACG
rnacentral:rRNA from 1 species